rnacentral:rRNA from 1 species
AUUGAACGCUGGCGGCAUGCCUUACACAUGCAAGUCGAACGGCAGCACGGGGCAACCUGGUGGCGAGUGGCGAACGGGUGAGUAAUGCAUCGGAACGUGCCAUUGAGUGGGGGAUAACGUAGCGAAAGUUGCGCUAAUACCGCAUAUUCUGUGAGCAGGAAAGCAGGGGACCGCAAGGCCUUGCGCUCUUUGAGCGGCCGAUGUCAGAUUAGCUAGUUGGUGAGGUAACGGCUUACCAAGGCGACGAUCUGUAGCGGUCUGAGAGGAUGAUCCGCCACACUGGAACUGAGACACGGUCCAGACUCCUACGGAGGCAGCAGUGGGGAAUUUUGGACAAUGGGCGCAAGCCUGAUCAGCCAUGCCGCGUGAGUGAAGAAGG